CCCUUAGAUGUCCUGGGCCGCACGCGCGCUACACUGAUGCAUGCAACGAGUUUAUAACCUGGCCUGAAAGGUCUGGGUAAUCUUUUGAACGCGCAUCGUGAUAGGGAUAGGUUAUUGCAAUUGUUAAUCUUGAACGAGGAAUUCCUAGUAAACGCGAGUCAUCAGCUCGCAUUGAUUACGUCCCUGCCCCUUGUACACACCGCCCGUCGCACCUACCGAUUGAAUGGUUCGGUGAAGAUCUCGGACUUCGAUAUUUAUUCUUUAUUGAGUUUAUAUUGUGGGAAGUUAUCUAAACCUCAUCAUUUAGAGGAAGGUGAAGUCGUAACA
rnacentral:rRNA from 1 species